AGUAUAGCCCGGUCAAGUAUUCCGGCCUUAUCUUCUUCACUUGCGGAAGACGAGGCUAUUCGAGCCGGAGACGCGGGUUCGAAAUGUCCUUUGACGAGAAAGGGCACGGAUCUCCCGCCCGGAGCACCA
rnacentral:tRNA from 1 species